rnacentral:rRNA from 1 species
UGAGGAAUAUUGGUCAAUGGACGGAAGUCUGAACCAGCCAAGUAGCGUGCAGGAUGACGGCCCUAUGGGUUGUAAACUGCUUUUGUAUGGGGAUAAAGUUAGGGACGUGUCCCUAUUUGCAGGUACCAUAUGAAUAAGGACCGGCUAAUUCCGUGCCAGCAGCCGCGGUAAUACGGAAGGUUCAGGCGUUAUCCGGAUUUAUUGGGUUUAAAGGGAGCGUAGGCUGGAGAUUAAGUGUGUUGUGAAAUGUAGACGCUCAACGUCUGACUUGCAGCGCAUACUGGUUUCCUUGAGUACGCACAACGUUGGCGGAAUUCGUCGUGUAGCGGUGAAAUGCUUAGAUAUGACGAAGAACUCCGAUUGCGAAGGCAGCUGACGGGAGCGCAACUGACGCUUAAGCUCGAAGGUGCGGGUAUCAAACAGGAUUAGAUACCCUGGUAGUCCGCACAGUAAACGAUGGAUGCCCGCUGUUGGUACCUGGUAUCAGCGGCUAAGCGAAAGCAUUAAGCAUCCCACCUGGGGAGUACGCCGGCNACGGU